CACAUUGGGACUGAGACACGGCCCAAACUCCUACGGGAGGCAGCAGUGGGGAAUCUUGCACAAUGGAGGAAACUCUGAUGCAGCGAUGCCGCGUGAGUGAAGAAGGCCUUUGGGUUGUAAAGCUCUUUCGUCGGGGAAGAAAAUGACUGUACCCGAAUAAGAAGGUCCGGCUAACUUCGUGCCAGCAGCCGCGGUAAUACGAAGGGACCUAGCGUAGUUCGGAAUUACUGGGCUUAAAGAGUUCGUAGGUGGUUGAAAAAGUUGGUGGUGAAAUCCCAGAGCUUAACUCUGGAACUGCCAUCAAAACUUUUCAGCUAGAGUAUGAUAGAGGAAAGCAGAAUUUCUAGUGUAGAGGUGAAAUUCGUAGAUAUUAGAAAGAAUACCAAUUGCGAAGGCAGCUUUCUGGAUCAUUACUGACACUGAGGAACGAAAGCAUGGGUAGCGAAGAGGAUUAGAUACCCUCGUAGUCCAUGCCGUAAACGAUGUGUGUUAGACGUUGGAAAUUUAUUUUCAGUGUCGCAGGGAAACCGAUAAACACACCGCCUGGGGAGUACGACCGCAAGGUUAAAACUCAAAUGAAUUGACGGGGACCCGCACAAGUAGUGGAGCAUGUGGUUUAAUUCGAAGAUACGCGCAGAACCUUACCAACACUUGACAUGUUCGUCGCGACUCUAAGAGAUUAGAGUUUUCGGUUCGGCCGGACGAAACACAGGUGCUGCAUGGCUGUCGUCAGCUCGUGUCGUGAGAUGUUGGGUUAAGUCCCGCAACGAGCGCAACCCUCACUUUUAGUUGCCAUCAUUAAGUUGGGCACUCUGAAAGAACUGCCAGUGAUAAGCUGGAGGAAGGUGGGGAUGACGUCAAGUCCUCAUGGCCCUUACGUGUUGGGCUACACACGUGCUACAAUGGCAUCUACAACAGGAAGCAAAACGGCAACGUUAAGCAAAUCCCGAAAAGAUGCCUCAGUUCGGAUUGCACUCUGCAACUCGAGUGCAUGAAGCUGGAAUUACUAGUAAUCGUGGAUCAGCGUGCCACGGUGAAUGCGUUCCCGGGUCUUGUACACACCGCCCGUCACACCAUGGGAGUUGGUUCUACCUUAAGGCAAGGUUUUAAACCCUUGACCACGGUAUAGUCAGCGACUGGGGUGAAGUCGUAACAAGGUAGCCGUAGGGGAACCUGCGGCUGGAUUACCUCCUUU
rnacentral:rRNA from 1 species